GCUCCGGUGGUGUAGUCCGGUUAAGCAUCUCGCCCUCUCAAGGCGAAGAUCACGGGUUCAAACAACUGUGAGGUCAUAGCUUCCAGGGGGGACACAUCCCGUCCGGAGCA
rnacentral:tRNA from 1 species